AAGAAAGGCACCAUUGGAAUAGAAAUUAACUAAUUAAAUGUUGUUGUUUUAACCCUUUUACACAUUAGCAUCAUAAAAUCCAGGUUCUUAGAAUGAAAAUUCAACUAUCCAUGUAUACCUAUCCAUAACAGCAAGAAAGCAUACUAACUUCUUUGUAUGACAACAGAUCAUAUACUAAAAUUAAAGAGCCAAACAAUCCCAUUAAGCAUUAGAAUCAGUUUAUCUCAAUGAACAGA
rnacentral:misc_RNA from 1 species